GCCCACGUAGCUCAGUCGGUAGAGCACACCCUUGGUAAGGGUGAGGUCCUUGGUUCAAGUCCGAGCGUGGGCA
rnacentral:tRNA from 1 species